GACGAACGCUGGCGGCGUGCUUAACACAUGCAAGUCGAACGGAAAGGCCCUGCUUGCCGGGUGCUCGAGUGGCGAACGGGUGAGUAACACUUGGGUGAUCUUCCCCUUACUUUGGGUUAAGCCUGGGAAACUGGGUCUAAUACUGGAUAGGACCAUGCUGUAGGUGGUGUGGUGGAAAGAUUAGUUUCGGUCAGGGAUGAGCUCGCGGCCUAUCAGCUUGUUGGUGGGGUAUUGGCCUACCAAGGCGUCGACGGGUAGCCGGCCUGGGAGGGUGGACGGCCAGAGUGGGAAUGAGAUACGGCCCAGACUCCUACGGGAGGAAGCAGUGGGGAAUAUUGCACAAAGGGCGCAAGCCUGAUGAAGCGAAGCCGCGUGGGGGAUGACGGCCUUCGGGUGGUAAACUCCUAUCAGCCAUAACGAAGCCUUCGGGUGACGGUAGUGGUAGAAGAAGCACCGGCUAACUACGUG
rnacentral:rRNA from 1 species